GAUGAAUGCUAGCGACAGGCUUAACACAUGCAAGUCGAGGGGCAGCACGAUUAAAGCUUGCUUUAAUUGGUGGCGACCGGCGCACGGGUGAGUAACGCGUAUGCAACCUACCCAUCAGAGUGGGAUAACCCGGCGAAAGUCGGACUAAUACCGCAUAAAACAGGGAUCCCGCAUGGGAUAUUUGUUAAAGGAUUAAUUGCUGAUGGAUGGGCAUGCGUUCCAUUAGAUAGUUGGUGAGGUAACGGCUCACCAAGUCUGCGAUUGAUAGGGGUUCUGGGAGGAAGGUCCCCCACACUGGUACUGAGACACGGACCAGACUCCUACGGGAGGCAGCAGUGAGGAAUAUUGGACAAUGGGGGGAACCCUGAUCCAGCAAUGCCGCGUGUGUGAAGAAGGCCUGAGGGUUGUAAAGCACUUUCAGUGGGGAGGAGGUUUGGAAGGUUAAGAGCUAUUCAAAUGGACGUUACCCACAGAAGAAGCACCGGCUAACUCCGUGCCAGCCGCCGCGGUAA
rnacentral:rRNA from 1 species